GGAAGCUUUGCUUGUUGUCGUAUUAUUUUAAAAUCAAUUGUAUUUUUUGAAAACGCUCCCUAAAGCUAUCCAAUUUCAACAGUUAAAAUAAGUAAUACCUAUCUUAGUAAUACAUAUUAAAACUAUCAAAAAUAAUUAAGCGACCUUAUUACAUUUAAAAAACCCAAAACUUCAAACGUAAAUAAAAGGAUGUCCAGUUCACCAGAAGAAAACCAAACUUUCAGAACGGGUGGCCACUUCGAAUUCCCUCACAGCUUCAAGCCCACUAUAGUUAAGGAUUUCCUGCGUGGAUGAAAAUAAAAGGGGUGAGUUUAAGAAAACUCAGUGUGUAAAGAAAACCUAUUCAAAGCCCAAGUCAGCUCAAGCCUAUUGGGCCUAAGCCCAUUUAGGUAACAGUGGUACUGGACCAGAGCCCUUUUCAGAUUACAAUAAACUGGGCCUUAGCCCCUUAUUCAGAUAACAGUAUGGCCCAUAGGCCCAUUUCAAAAUACAUGUAACAUCAAUAACAUAUGCAAGCCCAUUUGGGGAGACUACUCAACCCACCAACCACUACACUCCACCCGUACCAGCCAUACACUCCAUGUGGGGAAUAGCUCAACCCACCUAACCCAACACUCCACAGUUGCAGCCUUGCUGCUCAGUUAGCAGUAAAUUGAGGCAAAGCCUCCAGUACGUGGACAAGCCACUUUCAGUACUUCCUCCGUCAAUAUCUCAAUCCCAUGCAUCAGAUAAUAACAUGGCAUGCAGUAAAUAACAACAGCCAAACAUGCAUUUAGGUCAAUUUAACCCUAGGGGUAUUUCGGUAAUUUAUCUACUAGGGGUAAAACUGUAAAUUUUCCAUUUUUAAAGGUAUUUUAGUAAUUUAUCUAUUUUAGAGUUUUUCAUGCAUAUUCCUACUUUUCACGUACUAACAGAAUCACGUACCGAGUGUUCUUACCGAAUUGGGCCUGUUGGCCCAUCAUUUCAAUUUUGGCCCAUUAAGCCCAGAAAUAUCGAGGGCACAGAAAUAAUACAUUUCACAGUCCAAAUUUUGUAGCUUACCAAAAACAUUAAUCGAUUUACCUCACGAGCAUUUGCAUACUCGUAAAUUUACAAAAUACUAGUUUUCAGCAUUUUGAUUUGUCAACUUUUGUCGAUCCAGACUAAGAAAGAGGGUGUUAGUUACAUACUUGUUUGCGACGAUAUGCUGAUGAGAUCUACACACGAACCGCCUACAAUUGGAUUACUAACACGUUAAUCUAACUAUUCAAAUACAAACUACGUAUUAACCCCUUACAAUAUUCGGCCAACCACACCUACAGAUCAUAGUAAGCUUAUAAGAAAUCAAUAAGCAACUCAUUAACAAAUUUUUGUCAAUGUUAACCACAUAAUCAUAAUUUCACUGCAAGCUGUCUUCUUGAGAAAUAGUCACUAAAUCAUUUAUAACUGGUGCUACAAAACUCCAAAUCAAGUGCCGUUAAUUUUCCCUGAAAAUACUCAUAUAUCUUAUAUCCAUAAAAUUUUCAGAAUUUUUGGUUUGAUCAAUCAAUACCAGAUAUUUCUCAAAGUUUCGCAUGUUUCACUGUUUGACUAAUCUGACCACUCUUCAUUACGAAUCAAAUUUUUCAUUGUACAGAAUUCAAAAUAUGUUCUCGUUUAUUUCAUUUGAAACUAGAUGCAAUAAGCUUUAAUUACAUAAUUUAUUCAGCUUCUAAUUCAUCUCCCACAAUUUAUGGUGAUUUUCCAAAGUCACGUUACUGCUACUGUCCCAAGCAGAUUUAUUACCAAAUUCACUCUUUCACACAUAACAUGUAUAUCACCAAUCAAUCAUCACAUAUCUAUGAUUUUACUUAAGUAUAAUCUCAAUUUCAUCAUUUUAAAGCACAUGUUAGCCGAUAUUUCCCCUUAGCAUCUAAGGCACAUACAUGCUCAUUUGUUUGGCUCAACUUCACCUAUCUUUCAUUUUUUAUCAAAAGAACAUGAAACAACAACCAUUUCCUUCGUUUUAAUUCAUGACUAAAUGCUCACAAUACAACUAAAAACUAAAAUAUGCUUCAAGAGUUAAGGUAGAAUCAAGAACUCAUGAACCUCAAAAUAAAAAUAAACUACCAUGAACUUACCUUCAAUUUUUCUUCCCCAAGUGACCGAACAUUCAAGAGCUUUCUCUUCUCCUUUCUCUUCUCCAACUUUAGGCUAUAAUGAACAAAGAUGGACAAAACUUUAUUCUUUUCACCCCUUUUUCUUUUAAUAAAAUUUAAUAUUUCAUUUAUUUAAUUCUUUAAUACAAAAGAUAUGAAAUUUCCAUCAUGAAAUAUUUAUUUAACCCAUUAUCAUGAAACAUUUACCUAACCCAUUAUCAUGGAACAUUUACCUAACCCAUUAUCAAUUUGUACCAUGAAUUAUAGAUAUCAAGUGUUCAUAUUGUCUACAACAACAUGAUGGCUGACUACUUCAUAUAAAAUGAGAGGUUUGUCAUGCAAAUCCUUCUAUUUUACACUAUUAUUUAUUUGGCCACUUCAAUUUAGCCUAUAGCAUUUUCAAACAUUUUUACAUAGGUCCUAUUUCAUAAUUUCACUCACAAAUGACAAAAUUAAAACAUAAAAUUUUGUCAACAUUCACAGAAUUCCCGAAAAUUGAAACGUUAAAGCAAACGAAAGAAAAAAUCUUUUCAAAAUCUUAAAGAUAGGAUCUAUUCGAGAAUUGAAGGACGGAGCUCCAGGUUACUAUCACAAGAAAGAAAGGAGGUCUUCAUUAAAUCAAUGCUUCAGGCAAUACCAACCUACGCUAUGUCAUUUUCUCUUUUACUGAAAUCAUUAUGUGAGGAGUUAGAAAAUAUUUUUUGCUAAAUUUUGGUGGCAAAAUGGCUAUGGAAAAAAAAAUACAUUGGUGUCAGUGGAAGCAUGUGUCAUCCUAAAGAAGAGGGAGGGAUAGGUUUCAGAAGUAUAAAUCAAUUUAAUAUAUCAUUAUUAGCAAAGCAAGAUGGAGGAUUUUAAAUACCCCAAACUCUUUAGUUGCGUAAGUACUUAAAGCGAAAUAAUUUCCGAAUGAGGAUUUUUUGAAUUCGCGUUUGGGAAACAAUAGUUCUUAUAUAUGGAAAAGUAUAUGGGCGACAAAGGGCAUCUUGGCAGAAGGACUUUGCUGGAAGGUGGGUAAGGGCACGAAUAUUUCAGUUAUUAAUGAUGCUUGGAUUCCAGAUGCAAGAAAUUUCAGAUUAUCGUCGUUUGCUCAUAAUAUGUGAAAUUAUAAAGUUGCUGAGCUAAUUGAUAAUAAUGACAGAAAAUGGAAGCGGGAGUUGAUUGUCAAUACCUUUCCGGAGGAAGAAGCUGAAAAGAUCUUUCGUAUUCCUUUGGAGAAAGAACCUCAUGACGAUUUUUUGGUCUAGAGCGGUGAACCUUCAGGAGAAUACUCGGUUCGAACACCUAUAAACUAUUACAAAUUUCUGAAGAUCCUAGAGCUUAUGCUUUGCAAACCGACUACAGGAAGUUUUACAAAAAAACUCUAGCUCCUAAAUCUACCUUCAAAAAUUAAGAUUAGCGUCUGGAAAAUAUCAUGGAAUUAUUUGCCUACACGGGUUAACGUGCAGCAAAGGAGGCUAACAAAUAUUGUAAUUUGUCCUCGGUGUGGAAAAUGGGCAGAAACUAUGGAUCACCUUUUUCGCGAAUGUCCUGUUUUAGUGUAAGUUUGGACAGAAUUAUCAAUCCCGAAUUUUUUACAGGAAUCUAAUUUGGAGUUUCUACAGUGGCUCACCUGGGUUUUUACUCAGAACACUCCCUCUCAAUGUAGAAUAUUUUUUUGUGCGCUAUGGGCCAUUUAGGGAGAAAGGAACGCUAGAAUGCAUGAGAAGGUAAGCAGAACUGGGAAAGAAAUAGCUAGCUUUGUCAAUAGUUAUAUUACAAAACUAAAUGGGGUUGAAUAAAGAACCCCCAAAAUUUCGCAGGAAGUUAGAAAAUGGAAUUACCCACCUGGUCAGUAAAUAAAAUCAACUUUGAUGGAGCAUACGAUGGGCAACAUUUUCAAUUGGUUUCGGAGAUUGUGGCUAGAAAUAGCGAAGGGAAUGUUCUUCUAUCUUGUUCAGAAAUUCAUCAAGAAGUGGCCUCCGCCUUCACUCUGAAGCACUCGCUUGUCGCGAAGUAGCCCAAAUGGGAAUAUACAUGCGAUGGCCAAAGAUUGUUAUAGAAGGCGACUCAUUAUCAAUAAUGAAAAAGUGCAAGGCAGAAAAACAAGAUAAAUUGUAGGUAGGAGCAUAUAUACAUGAUAUUCAACAAAUAACAUCUAGAUCUAGAAACUUAGUGUUUGAAUAUAUUCCAAGAUCAGCAAAUGGUUUAGCACAUAUACUAGCAACUGAAUCGUUAAAAAAGGAGGAGGUGUACUUGUUAGAAAGCAUCCCUGGAUAUGCUAAAAACCAGAAAGAAUUUGAUAGAGUGCGAGAACCAGAUUGAAAACGGAUAGAGAAAAAAAGGAAGGAAGGAAAGUUUCAAAUGAGCAGAUCAAUGGUUUUGGUGAUAAAAGCUUUCGUUGGAAAACUUUAACCGUCUUUAAGAAGAAAUGGGAGAUUGAUAGACAAGACGGGCAUCAGUGUUCUUUGAUUGGGCAAAGUUGCGGUGAUAAUUAUGAGCUUCUAGACUAUUCUUAUUUUAUUUUCUUUUUAGAAAUUCUUUUUAAUUCGGGCCAUUUUUUAAUGUUGGGCCUUCUCUUCUGUUUUAGUUCUAUU
rnacentral:lncRNA from 1 species